CAGCAGCCGCGGUAAUACGUAUGUCACGAGCGUUAUCCGGAUUUAUUGGGCGUAAAGCGCGUCUAGGUGGUUAUAUAAGUCUGAUGUGAAAAUGCAGGGCUCAACUCUGUAUCGCGUUGGAAACUGUAUAACUAGAGUACUGGAGAGGUAAGCGGAACUACAAGUGUAGAGGUGAAAUUCGUAGAUAUUUGUAGGAAUGCCGAUGGGGAAGCCAGCUUACUGGACAGAUACUGACGCUGAAGCGCGAAAGCGUGGGUAGCAAACAGGAUUAGAUACCCCAGUAGUCCCUGUCUCUUAUACC
rnacentral:rRNA from 1 species